rnacentral:rRNA from 1 species
GACGAACCGUACGAACGUUAUUCGGAAUCACUGGGCUUAAAGGGUGCGUAGGCGGCGCAGUAAGUUGGGUGUGAAAUCCCUCGGCUUAACCGAGGAAUUGCGCCCAAAACUACUGUGCUCGAGGGAGGUAGAGGUGAGCGGAACUUAGGGUGGAGCGGUGAAAUGCGUUGAUAUCCUAAGGAACACCGGUGGCGAAGGCGGGUCUCUGGGCCGAAACUGACGCUGAGGAGCGAAAGCGUGGGGAGCAAACAGG